UUACUUACCUGGCAGGGGAGAUACCAUGAUCACGAAGGUGAUUUUUCCAAGGUGAGGCUCAUUCAUUGCAUUGGAAAUUGUGUUUAUGUCUUGUUUCAAGGACUGAUAUCAAUGAAGACCAGCACAAGAUCAUGUUUUACAUGAAGUACAGUAUUUGGUUCUUCUUUGUC